CCGACCUCCUGCCGGCGAAGACGGGUCAUAAGAUGAAGGGUAAGGCAGGGGGUGUCGAGGGGCUGAAUGAGCCGGUCUCGGGGUCCCGAGAGCCCACCGGAAUUAGCUUGGAAGGAGAAAAGAGACAGACAGAGACAGACAGACGGACGGAUGGACAGGUGCGCGCGGGUUGAAAACAGCAACCCCAGGAAUUUCCCAGGCAGCAGAACAACCCAAGGAAAAUUUGCCCACCUCAAAACUGGAAUCAGAAGAUUCCCCAAAUACUCAGCCUGAGCUUUCUAGAACCCAUUAUGCUUAUCAAAGCCACUGUGUGUGUGUGUCUGUUGCAAGCACACCACCACCAAGCCGCAUGCCCAGCCCCAAAGUCACUCUCAAUUUAGAAAACGGACUCUGGAUUUUCUCCCUCAACCUCAGGAAACUCUGAACUCUCAAAAUUGCAUUUUUUUCCAGCAGAGAAUUUUCACAAAUGUGACUUAAAUCUGAAAAAGCAGAGAUCUUUUGUCCAUUGAAAAUGUAAAAUUAUGAGAACCAAAAUGUCUAAAGCAGCUAAUUUCCAAAACAUCAACUCUAACAUGACUAGCUUGAAAAAAAAUUUUUAAAUCAUUUUUAGGCAUGAUGAAUUCAUUUCUGUGCACAUUAAUUGAAAAGUCCUUCUUGCUGCAUAUCCUAGAACGGUUUUAAACCAGAGGCCCUUCAAGAGCUUAUCUAAAUUACCCUUAUUUAGGGAGAUAAUCAGCUAAAAGUGGACCAGAGUUUCUGCAGUUUCAUCUAGCCUAAAGAAACAAGGGAAGCAGUUUUUUUUUUCUUUUUCUCUUCUUAAAAGAGUUCUAGGACAAUCUUAUUUCUUUUAAUUUGAGGAAUAGCAUCAAAAUUGUAUAGAUAGGAAUAUAAAACAAAUCUCCACCUUGCAAGAAAACCUCAUAGUGUCACAGUCUUUCUUACUCUGUUUGUCUUGAGAAAUAACAUAGUCUUUUGGGCUAAGGGCAAAUAGCUUAUCCUUACAUCGAAAGUUCCCUUCCAGCUUUCUCAGAGGACCAUUACUGCUUAUUAGAGCCUCAGAAUUUAGCAAGAAAUGCUCUGGAAGCCUUCUCCUCGGUGCACAGAUUGAGAGAUUGAACCUAGGGAAGUGGAUAUGUUGUCAAGAUCACACUGUGAGUGGUCAGCAGUUCUGUUUUAUGAUUCAGU
rnacentral:lncRNA from 1 species